GUACAAUUCAGAAGUAAACUAUGAUCCAGCUGGAACAAAGAAAGCCACAACAGUAAAGGGACUUUCUCUGGAGCUAUUGGGAAAGAAACUCUAUCUUCUCUGUGCUCUUCAACCUCAGAAGGCACAAUUUUAGAAUAGAUCAAGGCCUAAGAGUUAACAGAGAGAAAGGUAGAGCUUGAAUAAUUAAGAGACAAACUGCUGAAAGUGGUAAACAUGUGAUUUAGCUAAACCUGAAACAAGUAAAGAGGAAAGAAAGAAAGGAAAAGGAAAAAAAUGAAAUGAAAGAAAAGUGAGAAACCCAAAGUUCUUGUACAUCACACUUUUGUGAUUUUUUUAAUCUAAAAACUCAGACCAGCAAUCCAUCAGUGUCUCAGGAGAACUGGCCUUACCGAUCCUGACCUGUGUUCUCUUACUUGGAAAUAAGGUAAUUCCUUAAAAAGGUCAGCUGUCAUCAGAAAUAUGAAGAGCAUCCUGAGACAACAUGGCUGGGGAGACUGGAUCUGCGUCCUUGGUUUUCCAUCUUAAAAGAAUAUGACACCAAAAAGAAAAGGAACACCAGCGAGGAAGGUGAGAUUUGGGAAGACCGCUCCGAGAUCUGCUCUCCCUCCGGCCUGCUUGGGUCCAUUCAGCAGGACCAGGUAGCUGCAGCACCCUCCCCUGCCUGCACACCACCAGCCCUAGCGACAAAGGCAAUAUUUAGGAUGCUAUAGUUUUGAUAUGAGUUAUCCACAUCACAAGUCAUACUGAAAUUUGAUUCCCAAGGUAAGUGGUAAGAGGGGAGUCAAGCCUUUAAGAGACG
rnacentral:lncRNA from 1 species